rnacentral:rRNA from 1 species
CGCCUAACACAUGCAAGUCGAGCGGAAACGAGUUAACUGAACCUUCGGGGGAACGUUAACGGCGUCGAGCGGCGGACGGGUGAGUAAUGCCUGGGAAAUUGCCCUGAUGUGGGGGAUAACCAUUGGAAACGAUGGCUAAUACCGCAUAAUAGCUUCGGCUCAAAGAGGGGGACCUUCGGGCCUCUCGCGUCAGGAUAUGCCCAGGUGGGAUUAGCUAGUUGGUGAGGUAAUGGCUCACCAAGGCGACGAUCCCUAGCUGGUCUGAGAGGAUGAUCAGCCACACUGGAACUGAGACACGGUCCAGACUCCUACGGGAGGCAGCAGUGGGGAAUAUUGCACAAUGGGCGCAAGCCUGAUGCAGCCAUGCCGCGUGUAUGAAGAAGGCCUUCGGGUUGUAAAGUACUUUCAGCAGUGAGGAAGGCAGGUWCGUUAAUAGCGUGCUUGUUUGACGUUAGCUGCAGAAGAAGCACCGGCUAACUCCGUGCCAGCAGCCGCGGUAAUACGGAGGGUGCGAGCGUUAAUCGGAAUUACUGGGCGUAAAGCGCAUGCAGGUGGUUUGUUAAGUCAGAUGUGAAAGCCCGGGGCUCAACCUCGGAAUUGCAUUUGAAAACUGGCAGACUAGAGUACUGUAGAGGGGGGUAGAAUUUC